GACGAACGCUGGCGGCGUGCUUAACACAUGCAAGUCGAACGAAGUGGCGAACGGGUGAGUAACGCGUAAUCAACCUGCCCUUCAGAGGGGGACAACAGUUGGAAACGACUGCUAAUACCGCAUAGUGAAGGAGGGGAUUGCGUUUGAUUAGCUCGUUGGAGGGGUAACGGCCCACUAAGGCGAUGAUCAGUAGCCGGUUCGGUAGGAUGAACGGGCAAAGUGGGACUGGGACACGGCCCAGACCCCUACGGGAGGCAGCAGUUGGGAAUCUUCCGCAAUGGACGAAAGUCUGACGAAGCAACGCCGCGGGAGUGAUGACGGCCUUCGGGUUGUAAAGCUCUUUUAAUCGGGACGCGGUACCGGAAUAGAAAGCCACGGCUAACUACGUGCCAGCCGCCGCGGUAAUAC
rnacentral:rRNA from 1 species